rnacentral:miRNA from 1 species
UUGAUACGCACCUGAAUCGGC